rnacentral:rRNA from 1 species
UCGGGAAUUUUGGGCAAUGGGCGAAAGCCUGACCCAGCAACGCCGCGUGAAGGAUGAAGUAUUUCGGUAUGUAAACUUCGAAAGAAUAGGAAGAAUAAAUGACGGUACUAUUUAUAAGGUCCGGCUAACUACGUGCCAGCAGCCGCGGUAAUACGUGGGGACCAAGCGUUGUUCGGAUUUACUGGGCGUAAAGGGCGCGUAGGCGGCAUGACAAGUCACUUGUGAAAUCUCUGGGCUUAACCCAGAACGGCCAAGUGAUACUGUCGCGCUAGAGUGCAGAAGGGGCAAUCGGAAUUCUUGGUGUAGCGGUGAAAUGCGUAGAUAUCAAGAGGAACACCUGAGGUGAAGACGGGUUGCUGGGCUGACACUGACGCUGAGGCGCGAAAGCCAGGGGAGCAAACGGGAUUAGAUACCCGUGUAGUCCCUGAGCGGGCUGGCAAGGCGCAU